rnacentral:tRNA from 1 species
UUUAAUAUGGCAGAAUAAUGCAUUAGAUUUAAGCUCUAAAAAUAAAGGAUUAACCUUUUAUUAAAA